CUGCUUUCUUCUGAAACCUCCGCCGUGGUUUCUGCUACAUUUCCACCAUGAAACAAGAACAAAAGCUACGACGAAUAUGAGACCUAACAGCAGAUUUCAACCCAGCAACCAUUGCAAUUGCUUUCCAUUCCUUAUGCUACGGAACACUUGAGGCCUUAACAUCACAUUGCAACUCAGGUUUGUUUGUUGGUCAUAUGGACAACGCACCUAAGGCAUAAACACUUUAGUAGAGUAUAAGUGAAGAUUAACAAGGGACACAAUUUCGGUAUCCAUCUGGACAGCUGGGCACCUAAGUUAUAUAAGUCAGACAUAUGACUGUCUCCAGUGUUCUCAUAUCUGCGGUGGUUCCCAUUUACCAAUAGGUCUUCGCGUCUGUAAUGGAGUCACAACAAUUGCAACCACGGAUAUUGUGUCUUCUUUAUCCACGCCAAAGAAGGAAAGCCAUGAUUGAAGAGGAACAACACUGUGCUGUAAAGGAGAGAAUACAUGCUAUGGUGAAAUACACAAGGAACAACAUCAGAUUGUGCAAGACAAAUAGAAAAUGAUGGCAGACAAAUUUAAUGUAGUUUGAUUACCACAAGGAGGCCAAUAAGCCUGCGCUAAAAAGAAAUUCCCAAAAACAAUGGUAAGGUUCUUUUUGUAUCAUGUUAUCAUGCUUUUGUAACGAGAACUGUAUGUUUGGCUGGAAGCGAUGAUAAUUUCUUUUUGUAUCAUAUUAUCGUGCAUUUGUAAUGAGAAUCGUUGAGCAUAUGUUUAUUUAUUUUUCCAGAAUUUUUCGUACAAAA